UACGGGGGGGGCAAGCGUUGUUCGGAAUUACUGGGCGUAAAGGGCGCGUAGGCGGCCAUGCGUGUCUUCCGUGAAAUCCCUCGGCUUAACUGAGGACGUGCGGAAGAAACUGCAAGGCUCGAGUCCGGGAGAGGGGGGUGGAAUUCCCAGUGUAGCGGUGAAAUGCGUAGAUAUUGGGAGGAACACCGGUGGCGAAGGCGGCCCCCUGGACCGGUACUGACGCUGAGGCGCGAAAGCGUGGGUAGCAAACGGG
rnacentral:rRNA from 1 species